rnacentral:sRNA from 1 species
GCUGGGCAUGGUGGAGCACGCCUGUAAUCCCAGAGGCUUGGGAGGCUGAGGCAGGAGGAUCGUGAGUUCAAAGCCAGCCUCAGCAACAGCGAAGUACUAAGCAACUCAGUGAGACCCUGUCUCUA